AAUCAAUGCUGGGGGAAUCCCCCUUCCUGGAGCUCGGGGCUGUCUUCACACUAUCCCUGAGAAGAGGGAAACAGAGAACACCAUGAAGAACAGCCGGCCUCUUCCCCAACGUCCAAUACUGACGGUCUGAGAACAAGAUGGGGAGACUGAGGCAAACAGGGUGACAUGAUUUACACCUAGAAGUAUCUGAGGCCAGGUUUGAACUCUGGAAGAGGAGGAUGACUCCGGAGCCGGUACUGUGCCCGCUGUGCCACCUGGCUGCCAUUUAUUAGGUGGAGUGACUUGGGUCUUCCUGACUAUCCCCCGAGCUCCUGGUAGGGGCAGGGACAGAGGCUGUGGCAGCGUCACCCCGCCAAAGCCGAGGGACCCAGAGAUGCCCCCUCGGCUCAGAGGAGCCGCGCUGGGCCUGCGACUGUCCGUCUGGGCUGCCGGCGCCCUUCUGCAGGGCCCCUGGCGUGACUGGACACAGCCCAGAGCCCGCAGCCCCGGGAAGCAUUUCCUGUUUAGGAGUUCCCUUGGGGGAGGGGGCUGGACCGACAUCUAAGCAGCAGGGAGCAGAGGGGGACCGCCAGAGGCCCUGGGCAAAGGCUGGAGCCGGUAGGUGUGGGGCAGCUGAGGACAGGCACGAUGAGGCACAACCUCAGCCGACCCCUACCCGGGCAGCGAACUCUUGUGGCUGCUUCGUCUGACCUCAGUCCCCGUCCUCCAUCCUGGCCCCCAGCCCCAUCCUCCAUCCUGGCCCCCAGCCCCAUCCUCCAUCCUGGCCCCCAGCCAGCCUACAGGAGGGCGUGUGGCCUGGAGCUCUAAAGCCCAUCCCAGGGCUGGAGGGGCUCCUGCCCGCCUUCUAUUCCUCUCACUGGGAUCCUAACAAAAUAGUUCACAUUUUUUAUUUCAGCACGAAGUAAAACCGCAGCUCUGCCCCACCCCAGCCUCCUUGGAGGCUGCUGCCUCAGAGGCCGGAGUAGCCGAGGUGGGGUCUCGUGGGGGGGCUGUGAUCCGGCCGCCGCCAGGCAGGGGUAGGGGCUCUGCUGGAGGAGACACGGGAGGUGGCGGCCUGGGCUGGGGGUCCCUCCUGGAGCUGGCUGGGCUGGUGACAAGAGAUGGGGCCAUGCGGCCGCCUCCAGAGCGGGGCCCUUUGGGAGAGUCGGGCAUUUCCCAAGAUGCCUGGCGCUCCAGACAUGCCCACAUUCGUGCCCUAAACCUCGGCAGCCCUCACGAGCAUCCCUCGUUCCUGAGGGAGGGUCUGGGGAGCCCCGAAUGCCCAGGCUGCUUCUGGGGAGGGAGCAGUGACCCACGGCGCUCCCAGGUCUGGGGAGCCCUGAGCGGGGUGUCUCACUGGAUCCUCAGGAGCCCUCUGGCUGGUAGGAGCCGUUGUUAGCUCCGCUUUACAGAGGAAACUAAGGCCAAGGCCAAGUGGCUUGUCCGGGAUGGCUGCUGGGAAGCCUCGGGCUGCCCCAUGGACCUUGGACAUGGAGAGCUUGCCCACGCACGCACACGAGCGCCCCGGCAACCCAAGGACUUCGCGUCCAGAAGGCCACAAGAUUAGGGGUUCCCAGGGAGACGGGAGCACAUGGUUAGCUCACGCCAGGCCUGGGGGUGGGGAGGACAUGGCCAGCGGCCAGCUGGGUACACUUUCCUCUGCCCCCAGCGGGGCCUUAAGCCGAGAGCCGUGCCAGGAGUGGGGGCUGGAAGGCAGGGAGGGGUUACUAUUCCUCCAAGGAAGACCCUGGUGGGGAGGGUGACUCGGUUGUUUUUCAAGCACGUAGGCCAGAAGGUGUCCCAUCCUCUAGACCCAGCCGGACUGUUCCUUGGGAAGCCUCGGCCCAGGCUCACUGGGCAGAGGACCUCCUAGGCCGCCUUGGUUCUGGGCGGGGGGCGAGAAGCCGACAGCCUCCCAGGACGUUCCUGAAGGACGAAGCAGCCACCCCCAGAAAACGGCCCUCGGGACCCGCGAGCCUCUGAAAAGCCAACUGGGCUGUUCGCUCCCACACGGGAAGGCCCCAUUCCCUGGGCAACCCACCCCUGCCGCCCAGCUGCCAUUCGACGCCCGGCCCAGCUGUUCCCAAGACCCCCGGGUCCCCACCCGCUUCCCCUUCUAUUUCUGGGCACUUUGUGCCCAAGGCCAAGGUGAAAAGCAGAUGUUGGCUCACGUGAGAAAAGAAGGGGGGCCAGAAGGAUCCGGAGGGGCUCCUGAGCCCGGCCGGCCGUGCUUCAGGGAAAGCGGGCUCGGACAUCCGCACGCGUUCUCGUAGUUUUAGUCAACCCCAAGCUUUCCAGACCGCGACGGCUGCUCUGCCUCUGGCCAUGGGGUAGGGGGGGUUCUGAGGGAAACCGCCAUCUUCCUCUCAGCCCCACAGAGCAGUUCGCUCGGAAGCCGGGGGCCUCAAAGGGUGUCGAGUUUAUUGGUGGGGCGCACUUCGGGCACCUGCGUCCCUCCCGCCGGGCACACGGGUCUCCUGGGCCAGCACUCACACUAGACCCUCCAUCUCCCGACGCCAGGAGUUUCCUGUGGCUCCCCCAAGGCUGGCUCUCCCCAGCUCUCUCCGUCCCUCUGAAAUCCCAGCUAAAAGUCCACGUCCAGGAAGCCUUUCCAGCCCCCUGGACGCCAGGGCGUCCCUCUGUGAAUGGCUCCUGACUGUUCCCCUCCAGCCGGGCUGUGCACGGGUGUUUGUUGUCUCCCCGAGACGGAGCACACACUAGAUGACUAAUAAAUGCCUUCUGCCUCGA